rnacentral:rRNA from 1 species
AAUGAACGCUGGCGGCGUGCCUAACACAUGCAAGUCGUGCGCGAACGGGACUUCGGUCCCUAGUAGAGCGGCGAACGGGUGAGUAACACGUGGGUAACCUGCCUGGGAGUGGGGGAUAACCUGGGGAAACUCGGGCUAAUACCGCAUACGUUCCCGGAGCUACGGCUCCGGGAGGAAAGAUGGCCUCUGCUUGCAAGCUAUCUCUCCCAGAGGGGCCCGCGGCUGAUUAGCUAGUUGGUGAGGUAACGGCUCAACAAGGCGACGAUUAGUAGCCGGGCUCAGAGGGUGAUCGGCCACACUGGAACUGAGACACGGUCCAGAGUCCUACGGGAGGCAGCAGUGGGGAAUAUUGGACAAUGGGGGACACCCUGAUCCAGCAACGCCGCGUGGGGGAUGAAGGUCUUCGGAUUGUAAACCCCUGUUGAGAGGGGCGAAGGUUUGAGGGCAAACAGCCUUCAAACUUGACGGUACCUCGAGAGGAAGCCCCGGCUAACUCUGUGCCAGCCGCCGCAGUAACAC